rnacentral:rRNA from 1 species
AUAUCAGUCAUGCAUAGCAUAUCAAUAAGCGGAGGAAAAGAAACUAACAAGGAUUCCCCUAGUAACGGCGAGUGAAGCGGGAAGAGCUCAAAUUUGAAAUCUUAAAGGGUUUCCCUUUACGAAUUGUAGUUUAAAGAAGUGUUUUCUGUAGAGGUUUUGGUAAAAGUUCUUUGGAAUAGGACAUCAUAGAGGGUGAGAAUCCCGUAUUUGACCUUUACUUUCAACUUUGUGAUACACUUUCAAAGAGUCGGAUUGUUUGGGAAUGCAGUCCAAAAUGGGUGGUAAAUUUCAUCUAAAGCUAAAUAUUGGCGAGAGACCGAUAGCGAACAAGUACCGUGAGGGAAAGAUGAAAAGAACUUUGAAAAGAGAGUUAAACAGUACGUGAAAUUGUCAAAAGGGAAGCGUUUGACACCAGUGUUGUUUUUCUGAAAAUCAAUUAAAGAACUGUUUAUGCUAAGUUGUUUAGACUUUAUCAGCUAACUGUUUAGUUUUGAGCUUUUCUUUAAUGCACUUUUCAGUUAACAAGUCAACAUCAAUUUCUUUUGCAUGUAAAAAAGCUUGAGGAAGGUGGCUUGAGAUUCGUCUUAAGUGUUUAUAGCCUCUUGCCUAUGCAGUCGGAGAGAUUGAGGUCUGCAGCGUAGAUCCUUCGGGGCUAAAUGCAUUUGUGCUAAGUUAUAGCAUUUUAUAGACAACUUGUUGACUAUGAUUUGUCUUGUAGCUUACUCGCUUAUGUUAUUUUACCUACGCUUAGGAUGUUGACGCGCGUGUGUGCGUG